UACGAAGGAUGCAAGCGUUAUCCGGAUUCAUUGGGUUUAAAGGGAGCGUAGGUGGUCUUAUAAGUCAGUGGUGAAAUCUCUGGGCUUAACCCAGAAAUUGCCAUUGAUACUGUAGGACUUGAGUAUAGUUGCCGUUGGCGGAAUAUGACAUGUAGUGGUGAAAUGCUUAGAUAUGACAUAGAACACCAAUUGCGAAGGCAGCUCGUUACACGAAUAUUGACUCUGAGGCACGAAAGCGUGGGGAUCAAACAGG
rnacentral:rRNA from 1 species